rnacentral:tRNA from 1 species
GGGAGCAUAGCUUAGCUGGUAGAGCAGACGCCUCUUAAGCGUACGGUCGGGGGUUCGAAUCCCUCUGCUCCCACCA